ACUGGUGUUCCUGUGAAAAUCAGGAAAUCCUCUUUGAGGACAAAGUGCUUGACUCAGCAGCCACAUGCGAUUCGACUCUUGGGACUGUAGGAAUAUAACGGGAAUGGGAUUCAACAUGUUGGUUGCUACUUACUGCAAAGCAGAGAAGCACUACGGAAGUGAAAACAAAAAUAUUGUAAUAGGUUAGUCAUCCAGACUAGGGAUCCGCAGUUCUGUUGAAACAGGACGUUUAUGAUAGAGAAACUGCACUUAAUAAGGUGUUGGAUAAAACUGAGCUUCUUGCUGAGCUAUUUCCGUGAACAGUUAGGAAUCAAAAAACUUGGAUUCAAAGUAAACUAAUCCAUCAGAAGAAACAAGGACUUGCAUUUAAGUAUUGUGGAGGAAAAUGCCACCCAGAGUCACUUCAGCUAUUGGUAAACUGGUACUUUUAGAACUCCUGCACUACCCUUGGCCAUGCCAAUGAGCUGGGAACCAGCCUCCUAACAGAUACAAGACCUUAGAUCCCGUUGGAACAAAGUGUGGCCCUGGGCACAGGCAGCUGGUGAAGCUGGGGCAGUAGGCAGCCUUCCUCUCUGAGGUAUCCGCACUACUUCACUCACGGGAUCCUCAGCAUCCCUGAUUAUAAUUGCUUUACCGUGGCAGCCAUGCUUUCCGCUCCAAGGAUGUUGAACUUCCUCCCUAAACAUCCAGCUCUAUUUCCUUCCUUGAGAUACUCUUUAAAAGCUUCUCUAUUUGAUCAAACAUUUGGCCAUCUGUCCUAAUUUGGCUCAAUAUCAAAUUUUGUCUGAUAAUAUUUCCAUGACUCGGCAAGGGUAAUUGUACCAUUCCCACUCUCCCUCUUCAGUCUGCUCCCCUGCCCACUGCACCUUCUUCCAACCCCUCCACAUCCUCCAUCCACUGCUUUUAAAAGUGUUUAUUUUAUUUACAUAAUAUUGAAGAAAUUCAUAGGAACAUAACAAAUGCCUCACUGUAAUUUACCAAAGCUCCUUAUGUCGUGCCAAAAAUAAGGACUCAAUGUAUUUCAUGCAAUGAACUAGUGUGGUUAGGGCAGUGGUUAACAGAUAGUAAACAAGAUGUAGGGAAAUAUGAGUCAUUUUCAGGUUGGCAAGGUGUAACCAACAGGACACCUCAGGGAUCAGUGCUGGGGCUUUAGCUACGUAGAAUCCAUAUUAAUGAUUUAGAUGAGAGAUUGAGGAGUAACAUAGUCAAGAUUUCUGCUUGACAAUGAAAGAAGGCAAAGAAAGUGAGGAAGACACAAAUAGUUUGCAUAAUGAUCUGACAAAAGGGGGCAAAAGGAUAGCAGAUGGUUUAGAAAUAUGGGAUGAAACAAGGUUUGCUACUUUUAUAGAAAGAUUUGAUAAUCAGAUUAUUACUUAAAUGGCAUGAAACCAUUAAAUAUUGGUGUUCAGAAAAAAAAUAAGGUGAACUCGUACAAGAAACACGGGAAGUUACCAAACAGGUACCACAAGUAAUUAAAAAGGCAAAUAGAAAGUUGAUCUUUACUGCAAGAGGAACGGAGCAUGGGUAAGGAAGUCUUAGAGAAACUGUACAGAGUUUUCCUCUUCCUUCUGAUUCCAUCCUUUCUUCUAACCUCCCCCAACCUUUUCCCUCUCCCUUUUCUGUUCCCCCCCUCGCCCACUUCACCUUCCCUCUAUCCCUCCACAUUCCAAUCCCAUCUCUGCUCCUUCCCAACUCCCAUCAUCUCUCUCUCCCUUCCCCUCUCCAGAUCCAAUUCUUUUCCUCCCUCUCCCCUAUUGAAUAGUCAAAAUAAAAUAAGUGAACAGAUUUGAAGCCCUACAGUUAUGGACAGAGAAGAGAGGGGGAAGAAAAAGAGGAAAAUAUAAAGCCUUGCAUGCUUUUACAUGGCUUCAUGAGCUUGGGGAAAUGUGGGUGCAUUUGUCGCUGAUGGUACUAAAAUGAAUUUGGGAAACAGCUUGAGACCACAUUUAAUGGUCUCAGACAACUCCAGGACAUGUUAAUGCAAAAGAAUGAAGAAAAUAAAGAAUAAACAAAUAAACUUGACCACCUGUUGCUAUUCAAUGUUUAGAAUGAAUCUAUUUUUAUAUUGCUUUGAUAGAUUAUUCAUUAAUAAACAGAUUCAUUCAGCAAAACACAACCUUGCAGCAUGAGAAAGCCAGAUGUUCAGGGAUAUUCUGGUGCAACUCAGUUCCAUGCUUUUUUCACACAAUUGUUUAGCCUCAUUAUUUUGUUUUCCCUCGUCGUGUUUUCCUUUUCACAUUUCAGUUGAGCAUUUAAGCAGCCUCAAUGUGUCAUCUGUGUCCAUAGGACUAACGUCUCACAUAAACAAAAGAUGGCUGACUUCCUGUUCCUGUGCAGCUGUUGUUUGCAAGUGAAUCAUGAAGCUAAUCUGUCAGCAAGAUUUUAAUCAUUGAAGCUUACUGUAUUAAAUUAUAUUACAUUGAUUUAAUGGAAUAAUUAUUUUGCCAUCACUGAA